rnacentral:rRNA from 1 species
UACGUAGGGUGCAGGCGUUAAUCGGAAUUACUGGGCGUAAAGCGUGCGCAGGCGGUUUGCUAAGACAGGUGUGAAAUCCCCGGGCUUAACCUGGGAACUGCGCUUGUUACUGGCAAGCUGGAGUGUGGCAGAGGGGGGUGGAAUUCCGACGUGUAGCAGUGAAAUGCGUAGAGAUGUGGAGGAACACCGAUGGCGAAGGCAGCCCCCUGGGCUAACACUGACGCUCAUGCACGAAAGCGUGGGGAGCAAACAGG